AGGAUAAUUACACGAAUGUAAAUCGCAUUUUAAAGAAGGAAAUUUUUUUUUAUCCUGUCCUAGUGUCUAUAAAAGAGGCGAAACUAUAGAAAGAAACAUUAUUUUUGCCAAAUACAAAUCAAACGAAAAAAAGUUGAAUUUAAAAAAAAAAAAAAAAAAAAUUAACAAAAAAUAAAAAUAAAUUAAAAAAAAAAAAAAAAAAAACAUGAGACCUUAUACAGUUUUGUUUGUUGUGGCAGCAGUAACAGUUUCCACUUGUCUUGCCGCGGAAGAGCCAAACGAUAAUAACACAAUUUUUAAAAAAAUUGGGGACCUCAUUGUUGCCAUAGGAAAAAGAUUUUUAUUAGGAUCAGAAUAACACAAAAUUACGACUUCUGCAUAAU